CCUACGGGAGGCAGCAGUAGGGAAUAUUGCUCAAUGGGGGAAACCCUGAAGCAGCAACGCCGCGUGGAGGAUGAAGGUUUUCGGAUUGUUAACUCCUUUUUUUAGAGAAGUUAAUUACGGUAUCUAACGAAUAAGCACCGUCUAACUACGUGCCAGCACCCGCGGUAAUACGGAGGGUGCCAGCGUUACUCGGAAUCACUGGGCGUAAAGGGGGCGUAGGCGGGAUAGCAAGUCAGUUGUGAAAUCCUAUGGCUGAACCAUAAAACUGCAUUUGAAACUGGUAGUCUAGAGUAUAGGAGAGGUAGGUGGAAUUCUUGGUGUAGGGGUAAAAUGCGUAGAGAUCAAGAAGAACACUGAUUGCGAAGGCGACCUGCUAGAACACCACUGACGCUGAUGCGCGAAAGUGUGGGUAGCAAACAGGAUUAGAUACCCGAGUAGUC
rnacentral:rRNA from 1 species